AUUUAAAAUGGUGGGUGAUGUGGGAAGGUAUCCCAACAUGAUCAUGCAGUGGCAUAAUCAUGGCUCACUGCAGCCUUGUCCUCCUGGGCUCAAGACAUCCUCCCGCCUCAGCCUCCAGUGUAGCUGAAACUAUAGGCAUGUGUUACCACACCCAGCUAAUUUUUGAUUUUUUGUGGAGACAGGAUCUCGCUGUGUUGCCCGGGCUGGUCUCAAACUUCUGGACACAAACAAUCCUCCACAUUGGCCUCCCAAAAUGCUGGAAUUACAGGUGUGAGCCACUGGACCAGCAGGACUCUAAAUUUUGGUGCUCAAAAAACAUUUGUUGAGUAAGUGAACCUGAGACUAUCAACAAGCAUUAUUUUAAAAUCACUAGCAAAGGGUCAGAUGAAAGUGAGAUCCAUACAUCCUUCUUCAGCAACUUGUGCCUCUGCUCUGCACCUCCCGCAAUUAACUACUGAAAAAAGAACACAGCUUCACAAAAGAGAUUGUAAAAUCAGGAAGUAUAUCUAAGUCACCUCCAGUAGCCGUAACUCUACCUUGUCCAGUAAAAGUGCUGCUUGUUGCUGACGUUUCUGCCCAAACAUCAUGAAAUGUGGAGAAGAAAGAACACUCAGAUGUGCCCUGGAGACUUUCCUUUUAUUUUUAAACAGUUUUUUUUUCCAUUGGGUUUGACCAACUCUAUAUUCGACUUGAACAAAUCCGAAGGAAAGCUUCCAAUUAUGGGGAACAAGUCCUCUGAAGUGGCUAAAUUCCCACACACACAAAAGAAAAGAUGAGUCUAUGCCCAGGACCACCAGAUAAUUGAGUCCUGUACAAAAGCUUCUGACUAAACAAUGUGCUCUGGCUCAGGACUAUACAGAGAAAAGACACAGUUUUUAAAUUGAUCGUUCAAAAGGAAACAUAUUUAUGAUAUUUGCUCCAUGAUAUGUAUCUCUCAUCUGUUAGCUCAGGCAGAAUUAAAAUGCUAGACAAUAAUGUUCCAUGCCACUAUGCUUACUCGGGUCUCUCACAUUGGUGUACUUCUGGCACAAAGUCACAUGACAUUUGAGUAAUAGCUGUCUCCCAUGUGGACUUUACACCACAUGAUGUCAGGGGCCAUUCAUUCUAUUCCAAUUACAUAAAUCAUAGAUUAGGAUAGGUCUUGGCAAGGACUGGGUACUAUAUGAAUAUUUUUGAGUAAAUGUAUGAGCACAAAAUAUUUUAUGUGGUUAUGUAUCUAGUAAAACAUGCAAGGCUAACAUAUCCUCUUUCAUUAGACUUCAAGAAAACUCCAGCGAAUAUUUAUCAGAAAAAGAAAACCAGGAAAAAUGAAAGAAGUAAUAAAAUUAAAAUCUCGUACAGACCAAAAAUAAAUGAUACAGAGCAUUUAGGUAGUCAGAAGCUGUGCUAACUGGUUUCCAAACAAGGUAAAGAACAGCCUGCUAGGAACACACUGUAUCUCAAAGGGCAAAACAAUAACGUCAAACCUUUCUCCUCUGCAUUGCAAAUACCAUUUGCAUUUCAAUGACACUACACUCUAAAGAAUAUGCUCUACUAAGUUUGUUAGAUAAGCCGCAUGUGCUGUGUUUCAAAUCACAUAGUAAUAAAAGUGUUCCAGUUCUUUGAUAGAUUUACGUAAUUCCCUAACUGGACUACCAUUGAUUCCCCUUAAGAAAGGUAUAUAGACUCUCUAUGAAAAAUAGAGUUUCUUAAAUCCAGCUUCCUAUGUGGAAAGUAUUAUUACUUUAUAGGAAAAUAAUUUCUAGCUGUUUUCCUGUUGUUCCCAAGAGUCUUUCCAAUUUCUUUAUAUAUCUGUCUUAGAAUGUUCAAUUUUCUCAAGCCCCUUAAAAAAUCAUUCUUGCUUUUCUACUCAUUUCCACUUGUUAAACUUGACCCAGUUUUCUCUUGGUUUCAUAUUUUACCAUUCAACUUUUAUUCCACUCUCUACCCUCUCCAACUCCCCUAAAUAAAUUGUUUUUUCAGGUCAUAAUACCCCUAUUUGUUUUUCCUACACAACGGGUAAGCUCAGAUGGAACAUUAUCGAAUGGUGAAAAGCAUAAGUUUGUCUUAGGACACAAAGUUUCUAACAAAGAUUGAUUCUUCUCAUAUGAAAUAACUGCUUCUUUAUACUUUUCAUGGCAUUUUAGAAUACAGGGUAGGAUUGCAGUCCCUGAAAUGUACCAAUUCUGAAUUAAACUAAUUAAUUAAUUAAUUUUCUUAGCACCCCACAGAGAUUGUGCCAUCACUUUUUUGUAUCAUGCUGCCCCUGAUUUUCCUCCUAGUGGGCCCGAAACAUCCAUCUUUCCACGAGUGUGGUCAGGAGAUUAGGACUGUUAUAAAUGAAGUGCAAAGAGAUUUACUAUUCCAAGCAGAAUUUUGCAGUCAGUAAGAUGUUAAAGAUUAUCUAAAGAAUAUCAAGUCAAAUCCAGAAGUCUCAGCUGAAGGUGUUUCUUCUUUAACAUACAGAUUUUAUACUGCCCAUCAAUGAGGGUAGGCCUUGGGACAGAUUUAUUCUAAGAAAUGAGGAUAGAGUAGAGAAAGAAAAAGUCUGAAGCUCUUCUUAUGGGGCUGCAGAGCUGGGAGACUUUCAGAAAUAUGAGAAAGGAAAUAAGAGAGGCAGAUGACACAUGAGUUUUCAUGUUUUCUCUCCAAACAGAUAGGCAGUCUGGAAAAGCUAAGGAUGUGGGCUUUUGACUAGAAUAAUGUUUGGGACUCUGAAAGGGGUUUGCCUUGGAUGACUGCCCUGCACAGCUUCAAGAUGGCCACAUCGGGGGAAACACAGUGGCACAGUGUGGUGACAGAGGGCUGAUGUUCAGUAUCUGAGUCAUUCUUCAUGUGUGGCAUGAAUAGAGCUAUUUGUUCUAAGGAGGGACUUUGGAGGUGGCUAAAUGGAGUUGGAUAGUCUGCCAUGUGGCCAGUUUUGUUGGUGAUUCUGCAGAUGAACUACCUGCACCAGGAGUCUGAGGGAGGAUGUUACAGGAAUGCAGAGAGGUCUACAGUACAAGUAGGAGUUAAAAUGAGGUCAACUCUCAGCCUGGCAUGGUGACUUGGGCCUGUAAUCCCAGAAUUUUGGGAGUCUGAGGUGGGAGGAUUGCUUGAGCUCAGGAGUUUGAGACCAGCCUGGGCAACAUAGCCAAACCAUCUCUACAAAAAAUAAAAAAAUUAUGUGAGUGUGGUGGUGAGCACCUGUAGAUCCAGCUACUUGGGAGGCUGAAGUGGGAGGAGUGCUUGAGCCUGGGAGGCCAAGGCUGCAGUGAGCCAUGAUUGCAUCACUGCAGUCCAGCCUGAGUGACAGAGCAAAACCCUGUCUCAAAAAAAAAAAAAAAAAAUGAGGUCAACUCAGCCACUGAUUACUGCUAGAUGCUGACCAAGUUAGAGAGGACAACCCAGUGGAUUAAACCUUUCUCCAAAUUAAGCCACAUUGCUAGCAUGUCAGUGAUGAUCAAGAGGUCAAAGUAGUGAGUGAGGGCUAAAGAAGUGAGAGCACACUUAAUAUCAGAAAUAUUUCAGUCCAUGGGCAAAAGGAUAUUCUUACCAUGGGUAAGAGGAGGAAGUUUGCAGAAAUCUGAAACACUGAAACAAUUCUCUUAAAGACACUGGGAAAGGCUUCAGUGUCCAAACUGUUUUAAACCAAAUGAGUCUGUUUUUAAUUUUUUCUCCAACUGGAGAAAAUUGAAAAUUGUUUUGGUUGGGGCCAAGGGUGAAGGAGUCUUGAAGAACAUUGGAUCAGAUAUACCAAAUGACCAAUUUGAUAGAUUGAUUGAUUGACUAAUUUUUUUUUAAACUUUUAAGUUACUAUGGGAGUAAAUUCAUUACUUUGCUACAAAUGUUGUGGGAAAGUGGACAAGUCAAUGCACUACUGUGAAUACUUAUUCACUAAUUCACGUUUCCAUUUGGAAAAAUAAAGGAGUUGGGCUGCAUAAUUCUUAAGGUCUUCUUUAGUUGAGAGAACCUAUAUGUAUUUAUAGUCUGUCCUUCUUAUGUAGAGAACACGAAUGUCUAAUUAUUUACAUUUAUUUUUAUGAUAGAAUUAAAACGAUGUAUUAAGCUGGCCUUUUUUCAGACAUACUUGCAACCAGAGUCAUCAAUUUUGAAGACAGCAACCAAGCCAAGCAAUGUGAGGUUACAGCUAUGAAAUAGAACAGAGAUGUCUAGACUAUAGACACAGCCUGCCGUUUUGUGCUGAUUGGUAAAGUGUUCCAGCCAACUGGAAGCAAAUAUUUCUCAGAAGCAGUUUCCUGCUCUCAUCCUCUCCUCGCCAUGCCCACUGUGCCCAACAUGGCUCCAGCUGGGUCACAGAAGACUUUGUCCUGGAAUACAGCAUUUCCCUAUUUAAAUCUCUAACUUUGUAUGUACUCUUUUCAAUAAAAGCAUAUUUUUCAUUACCAUUCUGACCAUACUCCCUUCUCUGCUGGCUCCACAGCUAAGGUUUCUGCACCUGUUCCAUAACUUCUGGGAUCUGUCUCUGUUGCUGCACGUAUGCAUUCCAUAAGCAUUAAUAGAUCCAUUCACUCUUCUGAAAUCUGGGCAGCUUAAAUCAUAUUACAUCUAACGUAUUUUUACUAGAGUCAGUUCUACCCCCCGACUCUUGAGUGCACACACAGGCACUUCUCUGUAAGUUCCUUGAGGUCAGAAAUAGUCCCCUAGUCAGCCUUCUGCCUUCUGUAGUUCCUGGUCCAUCAAGGUGCAGAGUACAUAUUCCACAGAUAAAUAGAUAACUCUCAUUCAAUGCUCUGAUCUUUCCUUUAUCUUGUUUCCCUGGAUAUUCCUCUUUCACGGCUCUUUUCUAUUUAAUUU
rnacentral:lncRNA from 1 species